rnacentral:lncRNA from 1 species
CAAAGUAUAGAAAGCAACAGGUAAUAUAGACACAACUGAAGCAGAACAGUUUACAGAAAGAGCCCAACAGAGCGAGAAAGCAGGUUUCUAAGAAAAAAGUGAUUAGCAAGGCAAAUGCUGCUGUUAGCAAACCAAAGAUGCAAUGGUUCGUUAUAGUUUGGAUUGAGGAUUCAUGCAAAAUGCUACAUUCAAAUAAUUCUACUUAAAAGACCUAUUCCAGAAAGCCCGAUGAAUCUACUGAAACAGCCCUCUUGAGGCAUUCCUAAAAGAAGCAGUUAUCUUCCUCAGAAAUAUCUCAGUCAUGGUUUCCUAUGGCAAGUAAAUCUGAUAAUAAUUUGAAAUAAAGCAGAUGCUUUAAAACA